GAAGCUGAACUGAUGGCUGAACGGGCGGACGAUCAGGAUAUUGGAAAGGGAGCAUUUCCGGAUCAGGAACAUAAAUCAAACAUGACAUUGAGAUUUACCAGUCAUUUGACCGAUCAGUACCUGAAGGUCAUCAGCCUUUCAAUGAAGGAGGGAGAGUUGUUUGCCUGUUCUGUUACUGGGAAAAGAUUUCGGGCAUCUGUGUGACUCAAAGCACUGAGAAACUUGCACCUGAGUGAGGAUAUUACAGUGCACUGGCUGUGGAAAGAGCAGUAACGAGUUACCCAGUGUGCAAUAAAUCAUUGCACCAUUCAGAUCUGGAAGAGACUUUACGUGUGUUUGAGAACCACAAGACAAUAAGAAACAGGAGCAGAGUUAGGCCAUUCAGCCCAUCGAGUCUGCUUCACUGAUCGUGCCUGGUAUGUUUUUUAACCCCAUUCUCUUGCCUUGAUCCCCUUGCCAAUCAAGAAUCUAUCUAUCUUUGUCUUAAGUGCACCUCAGUGACUUGGCCUCUACAGCCCUCUGCAGCAAUGGGUUCCACAGUGUAACCACCCACUGGCUGAAAAAAUACCUUGUCAUCUCCUUUCAAAAAGGUAGUCCCUUUACCCUGCGGCUGUGCCCUCUGUUCCUCAUCCCUCCUACUGGUAGAAACAUCUUCUCUACUUCCACUGUAUCCAGGAAUCCUGCUAUUUAUUCAGUUUCAAUCAGGUCAUUCUUCAUCCUUCUAGACUCCAUAAGCAAGGCUUUGACUGCUCAUCCAACCUGGGGAGGCACAAGGACACGCACCGCAUGGCGAAGCCGUGGAUUUGUGGGGACUGUGGGAAAGCAUACAGUUACCCAUGUCAACUGGAAACUCAUCGGCGCAGUCACACCGGGGAGAGGCCAUUCACUUGCUCAGUGUGUGGGAAGGGAUUCACCCAGUCUUGCACACUCCAGAGACACCAACGGAUUCACACAGGCGAGAGGCCGUUCCUCUGCCUGUACUGUGGAAAACGAUUUAAUGCUUCAUCAAAUCUCCUGACUCACCAACGAGUUCACUCUGAUCACAGACCAUUUAAAUGUCCUGACUGUGAGAAGAGCUUUAAGAGCAAGAAGGACCUGUUGAGACACCAGCGCACGCACACGGGGGAGAGGCCAUUCAUCUGCUCUGUGUGUGAGAAGGGAUUUGUUCUGACAACACACCUCCUUCGACACCAGCGAUUUCACACCGGGGAGAGGCCAUUCACCUGCUCGGAGUGUGGGCAGAGGUUCACCGUUCCAUCCGACCUGCUGACACACCAGCGCAUACACACUGGCGAAAGACCAUUUGUCUGCUCUGUUUGUGGGAAAGCAUUCACUCAUUUAUCCAGCCUAAACACACACCAACUAGUUCACAGUGACCAGAAACCUUUUCAAUGUCCCGACUGUGAAAAGAAAUUCAAAAGCAAAUGGAAUCUUCUGUCCCACCAACGCAGUCACACUGGAGAGAGACCAUUCACCUGUGCUGUGUGUGGCAAGGGCUUUGCUCAGUCAAACAAACUGCUGAGACACCAGCGUAUUCACAGUCAGCAGCAGGGGUUUGAUUCUGCUGGUAUUGCUGGGGUUAAUCUGAUCCAGAAUUGAACUUGGUUCAUUCUGAUAGUUGGAAAAUGUUAAUGUGUUUUUGCUAAAUUUAGUAGCUGGCCUAGAUUGUAACAUUCUGGAUAAAUAUGAAGUGAAACAAUUUCAUUUGCAGUACACUGCAACGAUUUGUCUUUCCCUCCCGGAAAUAUCUCAGAAAGGAUAAUAGCAUUGAGGGAAAACCCAGCAGAAGAUCUGAAAUGAAAAGUCAAGGUUUCGGGAGGAAUUCAGGUCUGGCGAAGAUAUUAGUUAACUUUGUUUGCAUUUCAAGUCUUUUUCGGACAAGACAACUUGGGUGAAAGCAUGUGUGGGUGGAAAAGAAUUUUUGCCUGGAUACAGAUAACAAGGUGUAGAGCUGGAUGAACACAGCAGGCCAAGCAGUAUCAGAGGAGCAGGAAGGCUGACGUUUCGGGCCUAGACCCUUCUUCAGAAAUCCUGGAUACAGUCCUUCAAGGCUACACAAAGAGAUUCUCCAACACAGAGAGAUGCAAGGCCACCCACAACAUGGAAAAGGCAUAGAAAUGCAUGGGCUGUGAGAAGUGAUACAAAUUACCAUCUGAUGUGGAAAUUCACCAGUAUAGUCAUAUUCGUCUGAGUGGGGCAAGGGAUUCACUCAGUCAUCCGUCUGUAUAAGCACCAGGGAAUGCACUCCGGGGGAAACCGUUGAGGCGUCUCGAGUGUGGGAAGGGAAUCGAUCAGUGAACCCAGCUCACUUCAGACAAAUUUGUUCCCUUUGAGGAAAAGUCUUCUAUCUAACUGUGGAAGAGGUUCAAAAGCUGGUUCUCCAUUCACACCAGCACCGUCACUUAGGGAGAAUGUUUGUGUGCGCGCAGAUACAUCUGUAAGUAAAAGUAAAAGACUCGGCUAACCAGCCUCACUUCACACCAAUCUCUUCACUCUGACAAGAGGACUUUACAACAUUACGCCUGUCUGAAAAGCUUCGUAAUCUUGGCUGACCUUCAGAGAUACCAGUGCAUUCAAACCAGAGAAACCAUUCACUUGCCCAGUGUGUGGAAAGGGUGAGACACCAACAGGCGCAUAAAGUGACUGCAACAUUCAGACUAUGCAGUUCAUAUACAUCAUCAAAUGGAGUGGGGUGGUGGUGGGUGGCGAGGUGCAGGCUAACAGAUAAAUUUGCAGGUGACACGA